CAAUUUUGUUGGAGUUUGCAUUAUCAUAGAAGCAAUUUUCACAGAUGUUUUGCUGUUUGACAAAAGUGGAUAAUGGUUUCAUGUGAUUGAAUCAAAUAAAAGUGAAGGAUAAGGAUGUUGAGAAGAAAGAGAUUACUUGAUUACAAUGGGAUUACUUCACUACAAGUCAUUGGUGGCGAUCGAAGGUGGACAGCAAGAUCGAAGCUCAGCAAGAUUGAAGAUUGUUCGAGGAAGAAGGAGUUCGCCGUUGACUAAAAGGUUUAUCUGAACAGCUAGUUGUCAAGAUGAACGUGAAGA